rnacentral:rRNA from 1 species
CUCAUAACUCGAUAAUCCACGAAUACCAAACCUCCUCUAGAUAACCAGCAUGUAUACUGCCGUUGCAAGCACACCUUUAAAAGAAUAGUGUGCUAUAAUGAUUAUAGUAACCUCACAUACAUCAGGUCAAAGUGCAGCUAAUGAGAAGGUGACGAUGGGUUACAACCUUAAAAAAGAAUAUCAAUUAAAAGAUUAAAACCUAUUAAGAAAGUGGACUUGGAUGUAACAAAUUAUAAAAUAAAGAAAUGAAUAUUACCUAAGACAUGUACACAUCGCCCGUCACUCUACCCUAAAGGGUAGAUAAGUCGUAACAAAGUAGGUGUAAUGGAAAUUGCACCUGUCGAAGUAUAGCAUAUAAAAUGCUUUUUACUUACACUAAAAACAAAGUUAAACAACUUGCUUCGCCCACAUAUAAAUAACCUUAUAAAUUACAAGUAAUAGAAACAACUAAAUAUAAAAUUAUAUAGUACAGAAAUGGAAAGCUUAAUAAAAUAAAGUAAUUAUUAACUAAUAUACCUCGUGCAUUAUGGUUUUACAAGAAAAUAGUUAAAUACACAUAUCCCGAAUUCUUAAUGAGCUGAUAAACUGCUGUUAUGAACCCAUUAAUAACUGUGGAAAAAGUUUUAAAAGACAGUUUAACAGAGGCUACAUACCACACGCAUAAGAAUAUAGCUGGUUUUCAACAAACAUUAUACAUUAAAACAUAUAGUAGUACUAUAGUGUAAUAUUAUUGAGGAUAAGCCCAAUAACCUAAUGCAAUAAAUAAUUUACCCCGACUUAACUUUAUAGGCUUAAAAUCAGCCAACUAAAAUACCUUACCGUAAUAAAUAUUGGCAUAUAUACAUAUAUUUAACAUGCUAAAAAAAGUUGAAAUAGUGCAUAAACUAAAUAUAUACACCCAUAAUAUGUAAAAAUAAGUAUUACAUAAUUAUAUCGAUAAAAGUCAAGAACAAUCAUCACUUAAGUAAUAAUAAUUAAUUAAGGAACUCGGCAAAUAAUUAUUUCGACUGUUUAACAAAAACAUUGUCUUAUGAACUACAUAUUAGAUAAUACCUGCCCA